UUUGCUCUUGCAAUUUGAACCACUCACUAUAUCAUUUUUAUCCAUCCAUUAAGAUAACCACCAUUUGGUUAGUUAGGAUUGAUUUAUCAUUUUGAUUUCCAACAUGCACCUUUCAAGAUGUGCCUUACAAUUUGAAUGGUCUAAAAAGCUAUACUUGUGUGCCAUGUGAGGAGUAACUGCCAAUUUCAGAAUGGUAACAACUCUUCCAACAGAACAUGGAAAAGUUAUAUGACAAUCUUGAUUGUACAAAUAACUUAACCGAUUGUGCUUUGAGCAUAAAACAGAAUUUCACCAACCACAUGAAAUUAAUCAUUUGAUUUAGCCUUGGAAUUUGAACCAUUCACUGUUAACUAUCCAUUUGAUAACCAUCAAUCAAAUGAUGAUUAUCUUUGAUUUAUUAAUGUGAAUUUUAAAAUGAUAAAUAGCCAUGCAUGAGUGCCACAUUUGAGCAAGAUGACUCACUAAACUACCAUUUUCAAGAUGUUUGUGAGCUCUGACAUGUAUGAUGACUCCUUUGAUAGUUAACUACAAUUUUAAGAAAAUGGUGGUAACUCUUCCAACAUACACAUGUCACGGUUAUAUGACAAUCCAGGCUAUCCAAUUGCUUGCCCAAUUGUGUUCGGAGCAUAAAGUUACAUAGGUAACCACAUAUCCGGGCCAUCCUAAUUGCUGGCCCAACUGAUAUUUCAAUUUGGCCCUUUGGAAUUUGAGCCAAUCGCUGUUUGACUUUUAACCGUCAAAUGGAUGGUUAGGAUUGGUUGAUUAGUGGGAAUUUCGUCAUAUGGUCCAUUCACUAGGCCCUAAACAGGCCUUCAAUGUAGGAGGAACUGUUCCUAAAUCAUUGAAAUCUAUAAAAGAAACCGUGAUAUCCAUGCUUCAGCUUAAAUCAGAAACAGCUGGGGCUGAAAAUCAAAACAGGGAUUUUCUUCAUCAUUGGCGUGGUGCUAAAUGCAACUGCCCAGGACCUUGCCAUGCUCAUUAUAGGAAGGAUAUUCUUGAGGUGUAGAGUCGGCUUCGCUAAUCAGCCUCAUAGAGCGUGGCCACCUCGAAAAGGGAAGACAGUGCUCAAGAAGAUUCAUGGAACCAACAACGUUGAGCCUGAGUUCCUGGAGCUUGUGGAGGCAAGCCGUGUGGCCAAGGAAGUAAAGCACCCAUUCAGGAACCUCCUCAAGCGACGCAGCCGCCCACAGCUGAUUAUUGAUAUGGUCAUGCAGGAAGGAUGUGGUGUCACUGCCGAAUGGUUUAUCUGCCCAUGUCGUACUUGUAUGGGAAGAGGUUUGUUGGUCUAAUCACACCAUUAAUUUUGUCAUUAAGAAAGGAGCUCUACAUGACCUCGUAUCAACAAGUAGAUUAGAAUCAAGUCCGUA